AUUGAACGCUGGCGGCACGCCUUACACAUGCAAGUCGAACGGCAGCACAGGAGAGCUUGCUCUCUGGGUGGCGAGUGGCGGACGGGUGAGGAAUACAUCGGAAUCUACUUUUUCGUGAGGGAUAACGUAGGGAAACUUACGCUAAUACCGCAUACGACAUACGGGUGAAAGCAGGUGAUCUUCGGACCUUGCGCGAUUGAAUGAGCCGAUGUCGGAUUAGCUAGUUGGCGGGGUAAAGGCCCACCAAGGCGACGAUCCGUAGCUGGUCUGAGAGGAUGAUCAGCCACACUGGAACUGAGACACGGUCCAGACUCCUACGGGAGGCAGCAGUGGGGAAUAUUGGACAAUGGGCGCAAGCCUGAUCCAGCCAUACCGCGUGGGUGAAGAAGGCCUUCGGGUUGUAAAGCCCUUUUGUUGGGAAAGAAAUCCAGCUGGUUAAUACCCGGUUGGGAUGACGGUACCCAAAGAAUAAGCACCGGCUAACUUCGUGCCAGCCGCCGCCGUAA
rnacentral:rRNA from 1 species